rnacentral:rRNA from 1 species
GAUGAACGCUGGCGGCGUGCCUAAUACAUGCAAGUCGAGCGAACGGACGAGAAGCUUGCUUUUCUGAUGUUAGCGGCGGACGGGUGAGUAACACGUGGAUAACCUACCUAUAAGACUGGGAUAACUUCGGGAAACCGGAGCUAAUACCGGAUAAUAUUUUGAACCGCAUGGUUCAAAAGUGAAAGACGGUCUUGCUGUCACUUAUAGAUGGAUCCGCGCUGCAUUAGCUAGUUGGUAAGGUAACGGCUUACCAAGGCAACGAUGCAUAGCCGACCUGAGAGGGUGAUCGGCCACACUGGAAGUGAGACACGGUCCAGACUCCUACGAGAGGCAGCAGUAGGGUAUCUUCCGCAGUGGGCGGAAGCCUGACGGAGCAACGCCGCGUGAGUGAUGAAGGUCUUCGGAUCGUAAAACUCUGUUAUUAGGGAAGAACAUAUGUGUAAGUAAAUGUGGCGUGCGUGACGGUACCUAAUCAGAAAGCCACGGCUAACUACGUG